rnacentral:lncRNA from 1 species
CUAAUUGCUGAAAAUCUGCAAUUUGCAGAUUGCAAUGCUAACUCUCUGCUCUCGCGUCCCGCUGAGUCUAGUUUGCGUCUAUUUCACGCCAACAAUACUCGGACUCGUCCCGACACUCUCCAGAGCUGUCGACAAGCCUCAAAUGCUGAAUUCUAGGGUCACUACAAUGUGUGUGUGUGUGUGUGUGUGUGUGUGUGUGUUUGAUAUUAUAUUUGAAUUUGUAUUUUAAAAAUAGAUUUAAUGUAAUAUAUUUUGAAAUAUUAUAAAGAGAAAUAAAUUAUUUCGAAUUUGAGUUUUCGAGUUCGAACUCGGGUUUAGCUUUCAGAUUUUUGGUCACGUUCGGAUUUAGAUAUAGAUUUUUAAAAUCCGGAUUCAGGUUUCGGGCUUGGUAGUCGGGUUUGGAUUUGAGUUUUUAAAAAUUCGUCCCGAAUUUGAUCCGUUGACAUAUCUAAUAAUGAGAUUGAAAUUAAAAGAUAGUUGCUUUUGCAUAUA